rnacentral:rRNA from 1 species
GAUGAACGCUGGCGGCGUGCCUAAUACAUGCAAGUCGAGCGAACAGACGAGGAGCUUGCUCCUCUGACGUUAGCGGCGGACGGGUGAGUAACACGUGGAUAACCUACCUAUAAGACUGGGAUAACUUCGGGAAACCGGAGCUAAUACCGGAUAACAUGUUGAACCGCAUGGUUCAACAGUGAAAGACGGUCUUGCUGUCACUUAUAGAUGGAUCCGCGCCGCAUUAGCUAGUUGGUAAGGUAACGGCUUACCAAGGCAACGAUGCGUAGCCGACCUGAGAGGGUGAUCGGCCACACUGGAACUGAGACACGGUCCAGCCUCCUACGGGAGGCAGCAGUAGGAAAUCUUCCGCAAUGGCGAAAGCCUGACGGAGCAACGCCGCGUGAGUGAAGAAGGUCUUCGGAUCGUAAAACUCUGUUAUUAGGGAAGAACAAAUGUGUAAGUAACUAUGCACGUCUUGACGGUACCUAAUCAGAAAGCCACGGCUAACUACGUG